GCCGGCAGCUAGCUCUCUGCAACUCUCACAUGGUCACCCACGGAAGCUAAGCAGGGCUGCGCCCGGUCAGUACCUGGAUGGGAGACCACAUGGGAAAGCUAGGUUGCUGCCGGAA
rnacentral:rRNA from 1 species